GACGAACGCUGGCGGCGUGCUUAACACAUGCAAGUCGAACGAGAGGAGAAGGAAGCUUGCUUCUUUCGAAUCUAGUGGCAAACGGGUGAGUAACACGUAAACAACCUGCCUUCAGGAUGGGGACAACAGACGGAAACGACUGCUAAUACCGAAUACGUUCCUUAGGUCGCAUGACUUUAGGAAGAAAGGGUGGCCUCUACUUGUAAGCUAUCGCCUGAAGAGGGGUUUGCGUCUGAUUAGGUAGUUGGUGAGGUAACGGCCCACCAAGCCGACGAUCAGUAGCCGGUCUGAGAGGAUGAACGGCCACACUGGAACUGAGAUACGGUCCAGACUCCUACGGGAGGCAGCAGUGGGGAAUAUUGGGCAAUGGGCGAAAGCCUGACCCAGCGACGCCGCGUGAAGGAAGAAGGUCUUCGGAUUGUAAACUUCUGUUGACAGGGAAGAAGAAAGUGACGGUACCUGUCGAGGAAGCCACGGCUAACUACGUGUCAG
rnacentral:rRNA from 1 species